AAUCACAGAAUGGCCAGGGUUUGAAGAGACCUCAAGGAUCAUGAAUCUCCAGCUCUCCUGCCACAUGCAGGGCCACUAAACUCCAUGUUUAAUGCUAAAUCAGGCUGCCCAGGGCCCCAUCCAACCUGGCCUUGAACACUUCCAAGGACGGGGCAUCCACAACCUCUCUGGGCAGCCUGUUCCAGUACCUCUUCAAUCUCUGGGCUUGCAGUAUAGAAGAAGUUGAAAAUGGAAGUGAAAGAGAAUAGGAGGAAAUGAAGUAUGAUACUUCCAAUACUAAUUGGUCAGGAGAGAAUUAUUGCAAAUAUAGAUAUUUACUGGGAAGAAACGGUGCAGAAGGCAGAAAUGGCUGAAAUGACCUAGAGACGACAACACAUUUAAAAAUGAGGUAAGUUCUAGUCAUACAGUACAAGAAGAAAAAAUGCAAGCACACCUUAUUAUGGGGUCAACAAAUACUCCACCUAUGUGUUACCAUUGAAACAAUCUGAAAAUGCUUUAUUAGCAGAUUGUGAUAAACCAGCAUGUGCAGGAGCAAUUCAGAAAUGAAAUAAAACAACCCUCUAAAUUAAUUGAAGCUGUUGGGGGAAAAAAAAAUAGUAAAAUUAUUUCUGUAAUAUUAAAAUUAUUUCCAUUACUUAUUCUGAAAAAAAUAAUUGAAGGCAUUCUACUUCAAAAUUUCAAAAAUGUAUUGAGGAAAUGAUUAAAUUAUUUUGGCUUUAUUGCUUUUAACCAGGAAUAUUUUGACUAAGAAAUUAUUUUUAUUUUAGGUAAGUACUAUAUUUCAAUAAAAGUAAUAUUUAUAUGCAAAAUGAAUAUAUAAAUCCAGAAAUCUAUGUGUAUGUGUGUGUUAUAUGGUGCUUGUAUAUUUGUUUCAAUCACAAAUUACUUAUGUAUUGAAAGCCACAGUGAUGCAGGAAGAAGAGAAACUGAAUAAUGUGUAGGAUUAUGUUACAUGUACAGCAGAACGUGUGUAUAAAAACGGCCCCUUAAAAAAGUUAUUGGUUCUAUUUGCAUGUGAGACAGUUAAUUUUCUUCUUGGAUUCUGGUAUGAUGCUAUAAUUUGACUUGAGGAGAAAAACAGUGUUGAUAACACACUGGUGUUUUAGUUGUCGCUGAGCAGUGUAGUAUAGAGCUAAGAACAUAUCAGUUUUUCAGCUUUUCAUACUGCCCUGCCAGCAAGGGGGUUGGAAGAGCACUGUAAGCCAGGAGGGGGCAUAAACAGAACAGAGCUGACUUAAACUAGCCAAAGGCAUAUUCCAUAUUAUAUCAUACCAUAUCAUGUGACAAAAAAAACCCAGCCAUAAAAACGAGGGGAACUGGCCAGGGGAAUGGCUGCUGCUCAGAGACUGGGUGGGCAUUGGUUGAGAGAUGGCGAGCAACUGUGUUGUGCAACACUGAUUUUGUAAAUUUAUGUUACGUUAUUAUCAUUACCAUUGUGAUUUUCCUUUACUGUCUCGAUAAAUAAAGUGUUAUACUCUCUAACCAAGAGCUCUAUGUUUUUUUCCCCAAUUCUCUCCUCAUUCUCACUGGAAUUGGAGGAGUGAGUGAGUGACCAGCUGUUUUGCGAGCUGCUUGCCAGGUAAACUACAAGAGAGGAUUAACUACUGGUUAAAACAAAAGAGAAAAACAGCUAUGCCUUUGUUGCUACAGAUUUGUCUUCCUAUUUGGACAGAUUCUAGAGUACUCUAUUAGACAGUAAUGAUGGGAGCAGAGGCUUUCGUACUGGGGGUUUGAAGGAAAGGCCAGCUGCAUGGUUUGCAUAUGCGGGUGGAAAUGGGUACAGGACAGAGUGUUUCUGCCUUUGCUACCAAGCAGUCUGAUGUGUGAUUUCUUAUAAAUGCCUUGAAUGAAACCUGUAGUGACUUUUUCCUCCUCUUUCUAAGAAAUGCUUAAAGGACUGGCACAGUUACCUCCUAUGAACCUUCUCUUCUAUCAAGUCAUGGUUGAGGAUGCUGGGGAGCACAGAAUUGCCUUCCCUCUCCCAGGACUGAGGACCAGGACAUAAACUGCCAGCUCCUUGUCCAAAUUCACAUACAAAUCCAGAAGGACAAACACUAGAUCUGAAGAAGCAUUCAGCAGAAUUGGUGGUGGUUUGUAGUGCAGCUUGACUAAUUAGGCCAGCAUUUCCUGUGGUUAGUGUGCAAUUUAUUUGAAGAGCAAGCUAUAAAUCUAAACACUGGCGUAAAGGACAGAGAUACUACAUUUGCGUUGCCAAAAUCUUACUCAUAAGGUACCUUAUCCCAUUAAUUUUUCCCUGUUUUUUUUCUUGGGGAUUAUUGCAGCAGCUUAAGAAUGUGACUUAUUUCCGCUAAGACAUAGGCAAAGAAUUCAGGAAGAAUGAGAACUGCUUAAAACCGGUUUUAAGUGCUGAAAUGUAUUUUCUGAUUUAUGUUGAAGACACUACACCUGAUUUGCUGAAUGAGGAGAAAGAGAAAUAUAGGAUUAUUUUUACAUCAGUUCUCCACUGUACUGAAUAUUUAAAUUCACCACUGUCAAUUGGUGCAUAAUAGCAUACACUUUUUGUGGUGAACAACAAUUUCUGGUAAAUUGCAUUUGCCUUUUUAUUACAGUGAAAACAAAAUAUCAACUACUGCAUUUAAUUUUUCUGUAACUUGGCACCAUUUUCUAUUUUAAUCAAACUCUGCUCAUGACUACUCCACCUCUGUUGCUUCAACACAUAAAAGCAGAUUAGGCUUAUCUGUGAAGGAUGGUGUUUUUGAAUAAUCCAAUGAUAAAGAAACAUAGAACAAAGGCAACAUUUGCAAAAGCAUGGCUGCUUCAAAUGAACAUUUCAAAUUCAAAUACCUAAUG